GACGGAGGGUGCUAGCGUUGUUCGGAAUCACUGGGCAUAAAGGGCGCGUAGGCGGCCUUUUCAGUCGGAUGUGAAAGCCCGGGGCUCAACCCCGGAACGGCAUCCGAGACGGGAAGGCUGGAGACCGGGAGAGGAGGGUGGAAUAGCCAGUGUAGAGGUGAAAUUCGUAGAUAUUGGCUGGAACACCGGUGGCGAAAGCGGCUCUCUGGCCCGGGUCUGACGCUGAGGCGCGAAAGCGUGGGGAGCAAACAGG
rnacentral:rRNA from 1 species